CAUGCUUCUGUUACUGCUGUGAGGAGAGCUGGUGUUCCUUUGGCCUGGGGCCCACCCAGAAUGGACACACUUGGGGGCAGACUGGAGCCCACCUUGCAUCUGGAGCUAAGCUGUCAGACCUGCAGCUUGAAGCAGGGCAGCCUGGCUGAGGCCCACCCAGAUCAGCCAACUUGCAAACACAGAAGAAACCAGUGCUUCUUGUGGUUGUCUUCUGCUCCUGAUCUGGUUGGCUGGAGACACUUAGAAGCUAU
rnacentral:lncRNA from 1 species